GACGUAUUAUAUUGGUUGGAAGGCAAAGGAAGGGCAGCACCACCACAGUUUCACAUUCACUCACCCAAUUUUAUUUCUCCCCUAACCCCUUUCCCUUCCCCUUCUCUUCUCCAUGGAGGAGAAACGCCGCGAAGCUGCUCCCUCCGCCGCAGAUUCCCCGGCAUCGGAGCCCGCAUCGUCUCGCCGCCGCGCCGGGGCCAACAAGCGCAAGUCAGCCGCUCUCAACGCCUCUGGUUCCUCCUCCGCCCCCUCCAAACGCGCCGCUCGCGACAAGGCCUCGCCGCUCCACCCUCCUCCCCUCCACAAUGGCCCCCUCACCCGGGCCCGCCAGACCCCCAACUCCCUCGCCGCCGCCGCUUCCUCGAACGCCGCUGCUUCCGCUCCCGCCGCCGUCAAACACUCCGAACGCACCCAUCCCUCUGCUGCAGACUCCGCCGCGCUCGCCGAGCAGCUGAGGAAGGAGAGCGAGUGGGAGACUCUGGAGGCUGCGAUUGAAGCGGAAUUCGAAGCCAUCAGAUCUCGCGGUGCCAAUGCGCACGUGGUUCCCACUCAUUGCGGUUGGUUUUCAUGGUUGUAUAUUCAUGAAAUUGAGAAGCAAAUGUUACCUUCUUUCUUUAAUGGCAAAACUGAAAAUCGGACGCCUGGUGUAUACAUGGAGAUACGAAAUUGGAUAAUGAAGAAGUUUCAUUCAAAUCCGAAUGUGCAAAUUGAAUUGAAAGAUAUGUCACAGCUUAAUGUUGGAGAUAUGGCUGCUAGGCAAGAGGUAAUGGAGUUUCUAGAGUACUGGGGUUUAAUUAACUUCCACCCAUUCCCUUCAAUGGAUUCUGCCGUGGCCACUGCCAGUGAUGACGGAGAAGCAGAAAAAAGUUCUUUGGUUGAAAAAUUGUAUCACUUUGAAACUCUGCAAUUAUGUCGACAUGUUCAAAGGUCUAGCCAAAUGACUCCAGCUACAGCCUCUGGCUUGUUUCCAGAGUCUACCAUUGCUGAAGAGUUGGCUAAACAAGAGGGGCCAGCUGUUGAGAUGCUUGAGUACCAUUGCAAUUCAUGUUCUGCUGAUUGUUCUCGCAAACGUUACCAUUGCCAGAAGCAGGCAGAUUUUGAUCUGUGUUCCGACUGCUUUAGUAAUAGAAGAUUUGGCUCUGGCAUGUCUUCAUUGGAUUUUAUUCUCAUGGAACCAGCUGAAGUUGCAGGGGUUAAUGGUGGAAAGUGGACUGAUCAAGAGACCCUUCUGCUACUUGAAGCCUUAGAACUUUAUAAAGAAAAUUGGAAUGAAAUUGCUGAACAUGUUGGAACAAAAACAAAAGCUCAGUGCAUAUCGUACUUUGUUCAAAUGCCAAUUGAGGAUACCUUUGCUGAAUUUGAUGAUAAUAUUGAUGCUGGUUGCAAAGAACCAACAGAUCCAGUUGCAACAAACAAUGACUCAUCUGUGGACAAGGAUGCUUCAGAAUGUAUUGAGAAUGAUACUAGAGAUGGCAUCAAAGACCAGGAUAAAAAUUCCAAGGCUGAGGAUGUUGAAGUAAAGGUGAAUCAAGAGGAGAAUCUAAAGUUACAAGAAGGUAGUGAUGAGAAAGCCAGUGAGGGAACUUCUAAAUCUGAAGAUGCUGUUAAGGGGAAGUCUGAUCAGGAAGCAGGCAAUGAAUGUGCUAUAAAUGCUCUCAAGGAAGCAUUUGCUGCUGUUGGUUAUUCUCCUGGACCUGAUGGACCUUCUUCAUUUGCUGAAGUGGGUAAUCCUGUCAUGGCACUGGCAACGUUCCUUGCACACUUGGUGGGUACUGAUGUGGCUGUUGCUUCAGCUCAUAGCUCCAUAAAAUCCAUGUCAAGAAAUUCUCCUGGCACUGACCUUGCUGCAAGGUGCUGCUUUCUUCUAGAAGAUCCGCCAGAUAAUAAGAAUGAACCAACUAGUUCUGAGAAGGAUUCUAAAAGUGAGGGAGAUCAGGACGAAGUAAAUGUAAAGAAGGACAAACCAAUGUUGGAUGAUAAAGAUUUACCAAAUGAUCACAGUAAUAUGAAAGUUGGAAGUGACACUUUAGAAGACAAGGGACAGCCGGCUUCCACAGAUGGUGCAGCCUCAGAAAAGACAAUUUCUCCAAAGGAGCAACCAAUGGUUAAUCAUGAAAGUGGGCUUGACAACUGUAAUGUUCCUAUCAGUGCAAAGCUAUCCAAUGAUCAAGCACCAGACACUCUGCAUGAUUCAGGUGGUUCAACAUCCAAGGUUGAAACUAAAUCUAAUUCUGACCAGGUUCAGGAGGGAUCCUUAAUUGAAGAACCUUGUCCUGCAAAGGGCAUAUGUGUGUCUGAUUCUCUUCCAUUGGAGAAGAAAGAACAUCAGCCACUAAAAUCCAAUUUACCAGGAGAGUGUCCAAAGCUAGUAGAGACAUCAAAAUGUGAGAUAGUCUCUGAUUCUAUUCCCCCAACUAAGAACAAGUCUCAAAAUCCACAAUCUACAAAUCCAGUAUGUGAAUCUGUAGAAACAACAGACUCAGCCAUGGAUGUUGAAGGAGUUUCUAAUUCCUUGCCGUCAGAAAAGGUCGACUCUCAGGCACUAUUUACAACAAAGUCAUCCCAAUGUAAUGGGAUAGAAAAGGAUGUAGAUAUGAUGUCACCAUCAAAUCCAGUUAGAACAAAUUCUGCUACUGAAAAUGGUGCAAAUACAGGGACAGGUAAAGAUCAGACAGAUAAUGGAGCAAAAGUGGAAGAAAAAGAUACAAGGAUUAAACAGGACAGCAAUUUUGAGAAAAUGAAACGAGCUGCAGUUUCUACACUUGCUGCAGCAGCAGUAAAAGCAAAAGUUCUAGCAAAUCAGGAAGAAGACCAAAUCCGACAGCUUACUUCCUUGUUAAUAGAAAAACAGUUGCUCAAGUUGGAAACUAAGGUGGCUUUUUUCAAUGAUGUGGAGAAUGUGGUGAUGAGGGCAAGGGAGCAUGUGGAGCGAUCAAGGCAUAAGCUUUAUCACGAGCGUGCGUUGAUUAUUGCAUCGCGGCUUGGUAUACCAGCUUCGUCCUCUAGAGGUAUAGCACCAACUGUAUCAACUAAUAGAUUUCCUACAAAUAUUGCGAACUCACUCCAAAGACCACAAAUGAUGAUGAGUCCACAAAGGCCACUUCUUUCUAGACCUGCAGCCACUGUUGCUACAACUCUCCAAAACCCAUUAGCAUCUUCGACUGCAGCAGGAAAUUCAGUUCGGCCAUCUAACCAGGAAAAACUUUCUUCUGUUGGGACAAAAUAAAGGUUCAGUACAUCUGCUAAAAAGUUAUUGUCUUCAUACGUACUGAUCUCUCGCCAUCAUUUUGACAAUUCAGUUGUUUCAAAGGUCAAGUGCUGGUUAGGACUAACUCCAAAUUGACGACGAUUGGAAAUUCAGUGAGCAGAGUAGCACAUUGGAAGUUCAUCCUUACCCCGAUAUAAGGAGCCGCCGGAGUUGAGAGGAUUUACUGAUAUUUUGAAGUUGUAGAGCCAUUUUUUUAAAAUUUAUUUUUGAAGUAUUUAACUUAAAACAAGUGGAUAGUUGUGCAAAAUUUGCGCGUUCAAUCCUAUAACUUCAAUGCUAUUCACUGCAUUAUUGGUUGAGAGCAUAUUGAAAUUUGGAUGACUUCAUAAAGAAUAUAGCAAUCUCGCAAUGAACAAGAAUUUGCUACGUUGUAUGGCUAUGACU